GCCCCUGUAGCUCAGCGGACAGAGCGAGCGCGUCCUAAGUGCUGCGUCGGGGGUUCGAGUCCCUCCAGGGGCGC
rnacentral:tRNA from 1 species